GACGAACGCUGGCGGCGCGCCUAACACAUGCAAGUCGAACGGAGCUGAGAGAAGCUUGCUUUUCUUAGCUUAGUGGCGAACGGGUGAGUAACGCGUGAGUAACCUGCCCUGGAGUGGGGGACAACAGUUGGAAACGACUGCUAAUACCGCAUAAGCCCACGAUCCGGCAUCGGAUUGAGGGAAAAGGAUUUAUUCGCUUCAGGAUGGACGCGCGUCCAAUUAGCUAGUUGGUGAGGUAACGGCCCACCAAGGCGACGAUUGGUAGCCGGACUGAGAGGUUGAACGGCCACAUUGGGACUGAGACACGGCCCAGACUCCUACGGGAGGCAGCAGUGGGGGAUAUUGCACAAUGGGGGAAACCCUGAUGCAGCGACGCCGCGUGGAGGAAGAAGGUUUUCGGAUUGUAAACUCCUGUCGUUAGGGACGAUAAUGACGGUACCUAACAAGAAAGCACCGGCUAACUACGUG
rnacentral:rRNA from 1 species